CUGUACGCAUGAGAGAGAGAGGGAAAGGAAGAGAAAAGGAAAUAAAGAGAAGGAAAAGAAGAAAAAGAGAAGUGAGGAUCUUCAACUACUCGACGAGCCGAUCGAUCCUCCGCGCGCGUUGGAUGUUUCCGGCGCUUCGACUGCGAAGUUAGUUAUAGAAAAAGGUGUAUUAAAUAGCUAUGGAAGGAUUUGAGAUCUAGCUUGGAAUUGAUUGUGUGGAAACCUAAUAGAGGGUAAAACUGACGCGUUGGAAAGCUCGAAAGUUCGAAUUGACAUUCCGACGGACCUACGACGCGGUAAUUAAGAAACGCUUCAUUCUAGCUUUACUUGCAUCGAGUCGCGUGGACUAAUGUUUAUACGGUUCGUGACGUUAGUUCUAGUCUUCGACAUCCCUACAGGUUCCAGUGCGAGCGUUGUGGCCGAGGAUCGAGGCAAGAGCCCAGCAUCCUAGCUAGCUGAC